rnacentral:rRNA from 1 species
GGGUUGUGAGGUUAAGCGACUAAGCGUACACGGUGGAUGCCCUGGCAGUCAGAGGCGAUGAAGGGCGUGCUAAUCUGCGAUAAGCGCCGGUAAGGUGAUAUGAACCGUUAUAACCGGCGAUACCCGAAUGGGGAAACCCAGUGUGAUUCGUCACACUAUCAUUAACUGAAUCCAUAGGUUAAUGAGGCGAACCGGGGGAACUGAAACAUCUAAGUACCCCGAGGAAAAGAAAUCAACCGAGAUUCCCCCAGUAGCGGCGAGCGAACGGGGAGGAGCCCAGAGCCUGAAUCAGCAUGUGUGUUAGUGGAAGCGUCUGGAAAGGCGCGCGAUACAGGGUGACAGCCCCGUACACAAAAGCGUAUGUGCUGUGAGCUCGAUGAGUAGGGCGGGACACGUGGUAUCCUGUCUGAAUAUGGGGGGACCAUCCUCCAAGGCUAAAUACUCCUGACUGACCGAUAGUGAACCAGUACCGUGAGGGAAAGGCGAAAAGAACCCCGGCGAGGGGAGUGAAAAAGAACCUGAAACCGUGUACGUACAAGCAGUGGGAGCACCCUUCGGGGUGUGACUGCGUACCUUUUGUAUAAUGGGUCAGCGACUUAUAUUCUGUAGCAAGGUUAACCGAAUAGGGGAGCCGGAGGGAAACCGAGUCUUAAUUGGGCGUUAAGUU